ACACUGUUACGCAUUGCUCAAUAGCAAUACUAGCAUUUGAAUUUAUUAAAAACUUUUAGUCAAACGGACGGACAAGUUUUUUUAAAGGAAACAAACAAGUUAUUUCGGAUCAACAGAAGCAAGAUGCCACGCAAGUGCAUCAGAAGCUGCAAAGGCUCGUUACGUCUUUAUAAAUUUCCGGGAGUGCGGGAAAUGCCC